CUGUAUCUCGCCGUAUCUCUUAAUUUCUUCCUCUCCUGACGCCGAUUUUACUUGUGUCGAAAUCUGGCGUCAACACCAGAUGAAGCGGAGGAAGGGGUACUGUAGCAUUCUUACCGCCAUUUCAACUGACAGAAUCUCCUUGGAUGGAGAUAAACUUUAUAUGAAAAUUGUAGAUCUCGACGAGAUCUACAACUUUGUAGUUGAAACUUUUUUCAUUUGAUGUCAUAUUGGUAUUCAAAUAAUC
rnacentral:lncRNA from 1 species